rnacentral:misc_RNA from 1 species
UUUUUUAAUAGAAGCAUAAAAUUCAUUGAUAAUAUACUUAAAAUAGAUUAGCCACUCUCAUUUCAGAGAUCUCCCUCAAGGAGUGACUAAAAAUGACAAAACCCACCAGAUCUUACGGAACAAAACACCAGAGUAUAUAGUUAGCAAAAGUAUUACAAUGGUGCCAUGGCACUGAUAAUUAUAAAUUCAAUACCACAUUACUAUAGUAACAACAAAACGGAAGACUUAGGAAGGGCAACUAGAGAUUUGGCUUCAAGGGCAUUUGGGUCCUCCCUCCUUGGUCUUCCAGUUGUUGUAGCAAGGGCACACAGCUUUAUUCCCAUAAUACCCUGGAGGCACACACAGGCACUUUCUGCAGCAUUUCUGACAGAAGAACAUGCAAGGCUUGUGGUAUUGGGUCUUGCUGCACCUCCUCGAGCAUUGUGAUGGGCAUUGGUAGCUCUUGAGACUCCCUGGCCCAUAGCGCUUUUGAUUGUCAUAGUGGUGACCUCCAUGACCAUGCGAUGCCAUAACCAGGGUUUGGAGCAUUGAACUGGCAAUGAGGGCCAAGAGGAAGACAGCAAAAAACUUAGCCAUAGCCUUUGCCACAAUGCAAAUAGAAGAGGAAGCGGUGAAGGUGAGAAGAGGAGAAUAGAUUGGUUGAAAGGGGUGUUGGAAUGU